rnacentral:lncRNA from 10 species
GUGAAUGGAAAGUAGAAAGAGCACUUUACCAGGAGUCCCGAGAAUUGGCUGGAGCUCCCAUGCUGCUGCCUGCUAGCUGUGGUUCCCUGGCCUUGAACCUCAGGUUUCAUCUGUUAAGGGGGACCGGCACCUACCUAGCCUGCCUAUAUUCCCAUAUUAUGAUCAAAUAUGAAAAGCUGAAUAAUAUAAAACUACCAAGUGAAAGAGAUUAUUAUUAUUAUUUUUCUUCCUUCAAAGACAGACUCUACCACACAAGCUCAGCAAAAGGCUAGGGGGCCUGGAGCCAAGUGGGUGACCCAGGAACAGCUUCUUGAGGCUGGAGAGUCAUAACCCUACGCUGUGUCUCCCACUUCCCACAGGCUAAAUGGCUCUCUCCCCAAGGGUGUGGAGGCCCAGAACAGAACCCUCUUCUUCAAGGGACCCAUCAACUACAGCCUGGCAGGGACCUACAUCUGUGAGGCCACCAACCCCAUCGGUACACGCUCAGGCCAGGUGGAGGUCAAUAUCACAGCUUUCUGUCAACUUAUCUAUCCGGGCAAAGGGAGGACAAGAGCUAGGAUGUUCUGAGGAGAGACUUCACCUGGGACGUGAAAGGAGCAUGGGCUUGAUGUCAGACAGCUGUGACCCUGGACAGGGCCCCCCCCACCAUCUGUAAAACGGGGACAGUAUGAUGUACCUUGAAGGGCUGUUGUCAGAAUUCUACGUGAUGUAAGUCAAGCACCUAGCACAGAUCAGUCUGUCAAUAAAUGGCCAAUGUUCCGUGAUUAUUACCCUGAC